UACGUAGGGUGCGAGCGUUGCCCGGAUUUAUUGGGCGUAAAGGGCGCGUAGGCGGUGAGACACGUUCGUUGUGAAAUCGCCCGGCUCAACUGGGCGGGGUCAGCGGAUACGGUCUCACUUGAGCAAGCUAGGGGGCAAUGGAAUUCCCGGUGUAGUGGUGGAAUGCGUAGAUAUCGGGAGGAACACCAGUGGCGAAGGCGGUUGCCUGGGGCUUUGCUGACGCUGAUGCGCGAAAGCGUGGGGAGCGAGUCCGG
rnacentral:rRNA from 1 species